rnacentral:rRNA from 1 species
GAUGAACGCUGGCGGCGUGCCUAAUACAUGCAAGUCGAGCGAACAGACGAGGAGCUUGCUCCUCUGACGUUAGCGGCGGACGGGUGGGUAACACGUGGAUAACCUACCUAUAAGACUGGGAUAACUUCGGGAAACCGGAGCUAAUACCGGAUAAUAUAUUGAACCGCAUGGUUCAAUAGUGAAAGACGGUUUUGCUGUCACUUAUAGAUGGAUCCGCGCCGCAUUAGCUAGUUGGUAAGGUAACGGCUUACCAAGGCGACGAUGCGUAGCCGACCUGAGAGGGGGAUCGGCCACACUGGAACUGAGACACGGUCCAGACUCCUACGGGAGGCAGCAGUAGGGAAUCUUCCGCAAUGGGCGAAAGCAUGACGGAGCAACGCCGCGUGAGUGAUGAAGGUCUUCGGAUCGUAAAACUCUGUUAUUAGGGAAGAACAAAUGUGUAAGUAACUAUGCACGUCUUGACGGUACCUAAUCAGAAAGCCACGGCUAACUACGUG